UACGUAGGGCGCAAGCGUUGUCCGGAAUUAUUGGGCGUAAAGAGCUCGUAGGCGGUUUGUCGCGUCUGCUGUGAAAACCUAAGGCUCAACCUUGGGCUUGCAGUGGGUACGGGCAGACUAGAGUGCGGUAGGGGUGACUGGAAUUCCUGGUGUAGCGGUGGAAUGCGCAGAUAUCAGGAGGAACACCGAUGGCGAAGGCAGGUCACUGGGCCGCAACUGACGCUGAGACGCGAAAGCGUGGGGAGCGAACAGG
rnacentral:rRNA from 1 species